GAUGAACGCUGGCGGCGUGCCUAAUGCAUGCAAGUCGAGCGAACAGAUAAGGAGCUUGCUCCUUUGACGUUAGCGGCGGACGGGUGAGUUACACGUGGAUAACCUACCUAUAAGACUGGGAUAACUUCGGGAAACCGGAGCUAAUACCGGAUAACAUAUUGAACCGCAUGGUUCAAUAGUGAAAGGCGGCUUUGCUGUCACUUAUAGAUGGAUCCGCGCCGUAUUAGCUAGUUGGUAAGGUAACGGCUUACCAAGGCAACGAUACGUAGCCGACCUGAGAGGGUGAUCGGCCACACUGGAACUGAGACACGGUCCAGACUCCUACGGGAGGCAGCAGUAGGGAAUCUUCCGCAAUGGGCGAAAGCCUGACGGAGCAACGCCGCGUGAGUGAUGAAGGUCUUCGGAUCGUAAAACUCUGUUAUCAGGGAAGAACAAAUGUGUAAGUAACUGUGCACAUCUUGACGGUACCUGAUCAGAAAGCCACGGCUAACUACGUG
rnacentral:rRNA from 1 species